rnacentral:rRNA from 1 species
ACUCGAGUGGCGAACGGGUGAGUAACACGUGGGUGAUCUGCCCUGCACUUCGGGAUAAACUUGGGAAACUGGGUCUAAUACCGGAUAGGAGCCAUCUUUAGUGUGGUGGUUGGAAAGUUUUUUCGGUGUAGGAUGAGCUCGCGGCCUAUCAGCUUGUUGGUGGGGUAAUGGCCUACCAAGGCGGCGACGGGUAGCCGGCCUGAGAGGGUGUACGGCCACAUUGGGACUGAGAUACGGCCCAG